rnacentral:lncRNA from 1 species
GUAGAUUACUUUCUUGAACACAUCAAUGAACAGACAAGUACAACCUCUGCACAUGCCAUGUGGCAUUUUUGACAGUCCAACAGACGGAGGGGCAGUACUUGAAGUGUAGUAUUACUGAAGGCAAAAAAGAAUUGUCAGACACACUAGCAGUAGUUCUGUUGGGAACUUCAUAUUACAUAGCUGUCAUGGAACAGAAAGCCAAAGCAUCACAAGCGAAAGGAAAAGGAAAGGGUACCCACUGGGGGUUCCAUGAAAUCCAAGAUUUGCUUGAUAUUUGGGGGGAGAAAAAAGUGCAAGAUGCCCUGAGAGCGGUCCAUAUAAACAUAGAUGUGUUUGAAGAAAUAGCAGAACAGAUGCGGAAAAGGGGCCGCAGUCGAACUGCUGAGGAGUGCCGCAACAAAACAAAGGCAAUGAGGCUUGAGUACAAGAGGGUACAGGCACAUAACAAAUGCUUGGGAAACGCUCGCAAAACAUGUGCAUUUUACGCCAAGCUAGAAAACAUUCUCAAAGGAGAUGCAAGCAUUGACCAUCCCAGGCUCUUAAGAAGUUGUCCAGUCCAAAGAGAGGAACUUCCUCUGACCCAAGAUUUGGAUGUAACCACUUUGGAAGAGACAUGUUCCCAGAAGUCAGUACUGGAUACACAAGCUGCUAGUCCUUCACUGAUUACCGCGGAAGAAGAAGCAGAUGGAGAUGUUUCAGAACCGGUGAAUGUCCAUGUUCCACCUGCCCUUGUGGGAUCUCCUUCAGUGACACCCACAACUGAAGCUGAAGGUGAGGGAGAACCAGGGACCCUGAACCAAAGCCAGCAGUUACCUGAACAAGAAAGAAAGGACCCCCUGGAAAAGGCAGCACUAUCUCCUGCCACACGUUUACAGAAUCUAAGGACCAGAAGACGAGGUGUUAGACGGGGUGAAAAUAUCGCUAUGGCAAUCAUGCAGAAUGCUAACGAGCAGGCCAAGCUGCAGCGCGAAGCCAUGCGUGAGGACAUCUCCAAGGACAGGCAGAUACUUCUUAGCUUUUUUCAUUACUUUGAGGAGGAGAGUAGAGUGUCCCAACAGAGGUUCGAUGCAAUAGAGAAACUGAUACGUGAUGUUUUGGAACAAUCACGAGUGAAGAAGCAGUGUUGCACACAUACUACAACUUGUAAUACAGCGACAAUGCAAGAGCAACAAGAUUCCGUAGCUAGAUCUCAGUCCGGUGCAACAGCAAAUAAGAGGGGCAAUCAAGCAUCCAGAAAUAGUCUCGCACCCAAAAGAUUGUUCCCUGAAGAUAGACAUAGAAUUGCACCACCCUGCCAGACUGAUAUUGACAUGGCCAGUACUAGUGCGGUUUGCCAUGUGCAACCACUCCCUGAUCUUUUCAGGGGAGUGAGCCAAGGAGAGACUCCCCCCAUCAGCAAACCUGUCACAACAUACAUUACGGAACCAGCACCUGUUUCUAGCCAGCUGGCUGAGGCACGGAGAAAGCUGUCUGAUGCCUUGCAUGCCGAGAACACAGAGGGGACAAGGAAGGGUGAAAGGGAAAGGAAGAAGAAGCCGUACACCCCUUAGUUAUUUGUGUUUAUUUUACUGGCAUGUAUUUUGUAUUUUCAGAUAGGUUGGUAACAGCUGCAGGAAGUUAUAUGACGUUCUAAACAUGAUAUUGUAUUCCUAUUGUUGCUGUUAUAGUUUUUAGUUCAGAGGAAAAAAUAUCUGGUUGCAAUUUCUGGACUGGUUCAGCAUUGAUCACUGUGCUUGUGAUGUAUUAGAUGUGAAGUGACAUCCUUCCUACGUUCUACUAGGAAGCAGUCCUAUGUUAUUUUUUAUGUUUGUUUCAGUAUUUCAAAAGGUUUUUCAAACUGAAUUUAAAAUUUACUGUUUUUGGCUUCUUCAUUCUUAUUUCAGUAGGAAUACCUUCUCUGAAUAAGCAGUGCAUCAGGAAGUACCGUUUCCCCAAAAAUAAGACAGUGUCUUAUAUUAAUUUUUGCUCCCAAAGUUGUGCUAGGUCUUAUUUUCAGGGGAUGUCUUCUUUUUCCAUGAAGAAGUAUUUACAUUUAUUGUUGAACAAAAAACGAACAUUUAUUAUAUACUGUACAAUAGUUGUCAUCACAAACCAGCAUAACCAGAUAAACUGUGAAUCCUAUCAAGAAUUUCUUAUUACUACCAUUAUUUCCAUUUUCAACAAUCUAUGGUACGUACAUUUGCUGAUCCUGCAUGCUCUGGUGUUCUGUUUGGUGGGCAUGCUUCCAGACAAAAACUUUGCUAGGUCUUACUUUUGGGGGAGGCCUUAUAUUUAGCAAUUCAGCAAAAUCUCUAUUAAGUCUUAUUUUCUGGGGAUGUCUUAUUUGCUAGCUGAAAGGUCAGUGGUUCGAAUCUGGGGAGCAGAAUGAGCUCCUGCUGUUAGCCCCAGCUUCUGCCAACCUAGUACUUCGAAAACAUGCAAAUUUGAGUAGAUCAGUGGUUCUAAACAUGUGGGUCCCCAGAUGUUUUGGCUUUCAACUCCCAGAAAUCUUACUAGCUGGUAAAGUGGUUGGGAUUUCUGGGAGUUGUAUGCCAAAACACCUGGGGACCCCAGGUUGAGAACCACUGGAGUAGAUCAAUAGGUACCAUUUCAGCAAGAAGGUAACAGCUCUCCAUGCAGUCAUGCUGACCACAUGACCUUGGAGGCAUCUACAGACUAUGCUGGCUCUUCGGCUUAGAAAUUGAGAUGAGCACCAACCGUCAGAAUCGGACACGACUGGACUUAUUGUCAGGGAAAAACUUUUACCUUUACCCUAGUGCUUGCAGAAGGUGACGAUUCCUCCUUUGCAGUCUUUCUAUCUCCAUUUGUAGUAGGAGAUACAUCGCAAGUGUUACCAAAGCAAGGUUAGGAAAUGGAGCCAUGUGUAUGAAAAUGGAGGUUGUCUAAACGCCUGUAGAACAAAUAAAGAAAAAGGGGAAAAAAAGAGAACAGGAUUAGUUUCACUGUGAUCUGGCUUCAAAAGUAGUAGGUGUGUAAGUCUCCUGAAGGUGAAAAGGUAUAGAAAUCAGUAAUAUGUCAGGACAUUUGAUAGAAACAAGGUUUCAUUUUAGUCUCAAUAUGUGCCUAAAUAUUUCCCAGAGCUAGCAGAUAUUUAUUUAAUAAAUGUGACACAAGCAUAUUAAACCCUCUAACAUAAUCUGGGAAGAGCACACAUAUGAGUUGUCAUUACCUUUUAUAAAUGCAGGGUAAUCCAAGCAGUGCAUCUGCAUUAUUGAAUUAAUGCAGUUACACACAUCAGACUCGUAAAGUUGCUCAAAAUGCUGCUAAAGUACUGUACAUGUGUCUACCCUUACCAUAUAAUGCAGUUGCAGGCUGAGCAUGUGGCUGGUUAGAAGGGGUCAAAGGUUCAUCAAACCUUGACUUUUGGGGUGCAUCUGCACCUUAUUAUUGCAGUUUGAAACCACACCACAAUAUUACAUGGGAAAUGUGAUUAAUGACUUAAUUCUGGAUGAUCCCACACCGGGAGGAAUGAAAAAGGGGUGAGAAGUGUGACAGCUAUAGCAUGAAAUUUAAGUCUGCGUAUAUGAUCAGUGUAGACUCAUGUAAAUAUGCUAAAUUCUACAACUACACAAGUCAUUCUCUGCCAAAGAGUGCAGAAACCUCAUAAAACUGGUCCUUUCAGCACUACUGUUCUUAUUAUUGCGUUGCCAUGAGUUUUCUGGGCUGUAUGGCUAUGUUCCUGGAGCAUUCUCUUCUGAUGUUUCGCCCACACCUAUGACAAGCAUUCUCAGAGGUUGUGAGGUCUGUUGGAAACUAGGCAAGUGGGGUUUACAUAUCAGUGGAAUGUCCAGGGUGGGAGAAAUAACUCUUUUCUGCUUGAGGCAAGUGGGAAUGUUGCAGUUGCCCAACUUGAUUAGCUUUGAAUAGCCCUGCAGCUUCAAAGCCUGGCUGCAAUUAAACAAUGAUGCAAGUAUCCAGAUCUUGGGGAUUCAGAAGCUGGAUUAUAUGGCAGUGUAGAUGGGGCCCUAGAUAAUGUCACUUCAAGAUAAAUUUCCUUGGAAAUAAGCCCCACUGAGUUCAAUUAAACUCUAGCUCCAGACAAAUGUGAAGAUGGUUAAUGCUGCUCAGUGCUGCUAAAGUGCCCUACACGAGUCUACCCUGACUACAUAAUGCAGUUGCAAGCUAAGUAUGUGGCUGGUUAGAGGGAUCAUAGGUUCAUCAAACUUCCUUGG